GCUCGAGACCCAGUACUACUUCGUCGUAACUCAAACUGUUUGGGCGUCGCCGCCGGAAACCCCUGAAAAAUUACUCAGAAAUCAGCGACGAUGGGUGGUGACCGGUGUAGAAGCACGAGUAGCAGUAGCAGCAGCAGUGAAGAGGAUGGAGAUGCUGAUUGGAGAGCCGCCAUAGAUUCUGUUGCUGCUACAACUACAUUUGGCAAAACUACCGCCAAAAUUCAUUCAUCAGCUACUGCUACUAACGGAGAAUCUAUUGCCCAUCCAUUCCAAGAAGAUGAAAUAGAUACUAUCCAACCCCAGAAGCUCAAACAUUAUCAAAUAAAGGGCCUGAAGACUUUGGAAG
rnacentral:misc_RNA from 1 species